UACGUAGGGUGCGAGCGUUAAUCGGAAUUACUGGGCGUAAAGCGUGCGCAGGCGGUGAUGUAAGACAGAUGUGAAAUCCCCGGGCUCAACCUGGGAACUGCAUUUGUGACUGCAUCGCUGGAGUGCGGCAGAGGGGGAUGGAAUUCCGCGUGUAGCAGUGAAAUGCGUAGAUAUGCGGAGGAACACCGAUGGCGAAGGCAAUCCCCUGGGCCUGCACUGACGCUCAUGCACGAAAGCGUGGGGAGCAAACAGGAUAGAAACC
rnacentral:rRNA from 1 species